GACGAACGCUGGCGGCGUGCUUAACACAUGCAAGUCGAACGGAAAGGCCCUGCUUUUGUGGGGUGCUCGAGUGGCGAACGGGUGAGUAACACGUGAGUAACCUGCCCUUGACUUUGGGAUAACUUCAGGAAACUGGGGCUAAUACCGGAUAGUAGCUCCUGCUGCAUGGUGGGGGUUGGAAAGUUUCGGCGGUUGGGGAUGGACUCGCGGCUUAUCAGCUUGUUGGUGGGGUAGUGGCUUACCAAGGCUUUGACGGGUAGCCGGCCUGAGAGGGUGACCGGCCAAAUUGGGACUGAGAUACGGCCCAGACUCCUACGGGAGGCAGCAGUGGGGAAUAUUGCACAAUGGGCGGAAGCCUGAUGCAGCAACGCCGCGUGCGGGAUGACGGCCUUCGGGUUGUAACCCGCUUUCGCCUGUGACGAAGCGUGAGUGACGGUAAUGGGUAAAGAAGCACCGGCUAACUACGUG
rnacentral:rRNA from 1 species